UACGGGGGGGGCAAGCGUUGUUCGGAAUUACUGGGCGUAAAGCGUGCGCAGGCGGCGCGUUAAGUCAGGUGUGAAAGCCCCGAGCUUAACUUGGGAAUUGCGCUUGUGACUGGCGAGCUGGAGUGUGGCAGAGGGAGGUGGAAUUCCACGUGUAGCAGUGAAAUGCGUAGAGAUGUGGAGGAACACCGAUGGCGAAGGCAGCCUCCUGGGCCAGCACUGACGCUCAUGCACGAAAGCGUGGGGAGCAAACAGG
rnacentral:rRNA from 1 species